rnacentral:rRNA from 1 species
AUUGAACGCUGGCGGCAGGCCUAACACAUGCAAGUCGAACGAGUGGCGGACGGGUGAGUAAUGUCUGGGAAACUGCCCGAUGGAGGGGGAUAACUACUGGAAACGGUAGCUAAUACCGCAUACUAUCGGAUGUACCCAGAUGGGAUUAGCUAGUAGGUGGGGUAAAGGCUCACCUAGGCGACGAUCCCUAGCUGGUCUGAGAGGAUGACCAGCCAAACGGGAACGGAGACACGGCCCAGACUCCGACGGGAGGCAGCAGUGGGGAAUAUUGCACAAUGGGCGCAAGCCUGAUGCAGCCAUGCCGCGUGUAUGAAGAAGGCCUUAGGGUUGUAAAGUACUUUCAGCGGGGAGGCGUUACCCGCAGAAGAAGCACCGGCUAACUCCGUGCCAGCAGCCGCGGUAAUUC